GUGAUAUUUUCGCUUGUGUUCCACCGUUUCUGGUUUUCUUGGCCCUCCACACCCUGCAUGGAGACCCAUAGAUUCACCUUGUCCUUCAAUUAUGCCCUGUUUCUAGUUGUUAUACUGUCUUUUCUAUCUAUUGAAGGUGGUUUAGCGUCUCGGCUCAACCGGUUUGAGCCUGGGAUCCUCAUGCCCACAGAGGAAGUUGAACCAGGAGUUGAUGAUGAUCAACUUGGCACAAGAUGGGCAGUUCUCGUGGCCGGAUCAGGGGGUUACGGAAAUUACAGGCAUCAGGCCGAUGUUUGCCAUGCAUAUCAGCUUCUAAGAAAAGGAGGC
rnacentral:misc_RNA from 1 species